rnacentral:rRNA from 1 species
UACGUAGGGUGCAAGCGUUGUCCGGAAUUAUUGGGCGUAAAGAGCUCGUAGGCGGUCUGUCGCGUCUGCUGUGAAAACUCGGGGCUUAACCCCGGGCCUGCAGUGGGUACGGGCAGACUAGAGUGCGGUAGGGGAGACUGGAAUUCCUGGUGUAGCGGUGAAAUGCGCAGAUAUCGGGAGGAACACCAGAGGCGAAGGCGGCGCACUGGACAGCAACUGACACUCAACUGCGAAAGCGUGGGGAGCAAACAGG